UGGGAAUGUGCCCUAAAGUGAUGUGAUAACGCACCGAAAGGUGUGCUAAUACCGCAUAUGGUCUUCGGAUUAAAGAAUUUAUUCGCUUUAGAAGCAGCCCGCGUCGGAUUAGGUAGUUGGUGAGGUAAAGGCUCACCAAGCCCACGAUCCGUAGCUGGUCUGAGAGGAUGACCAGCCAGACUGGAACUGAGACAUGGUCCAGACUCCUACGGGAGGCAGCAGUGAGGAAUCUUCCACAAUGGGCGAAAGCCUGAUGGAGCAACGCCGCGUGCAGGAUGAAGGCCUUCGGGUUGUAAACUGCUUUUAUUUGUGAAGAAUAUGACGGUAACAAAUGAAUAAGGAUCGGCUAACUACGUGCCAGCAGCCGCGGUCAUACGUAGGAUCCAAGCGUUAUCCGGAGUGACUGGGCGUAAAGAGUUGCGUAAGUGGUUUGU
rnacentral:rRNA from 1 species